CGGUAUGGCUCGACGGUUGAGAGCGCUUCGCUGAUAACGAAGAGGUCCAGGUUCAAAUUCCUGGUACGCCCACCCA
rnacentral:tRNA from 1 species